AGAGGUUCGACUCGAGCGAAGCGAGAGAACGUUGCGUCAGCAACGGCCCGCAGUGGCAAGUCAUCCUCUGUCACCGGCAG
rnacentral:sRNA from 1 species